ACACGACUACAUUAGAUACCCGGGUAGUCCUAGCCGUAAACGAUACUCGCUAGGUGUCGGCCACGGUGCGACCGUUGUCGGUGCCGUAGGGAAGCCGUGAAGCGAGCCACCGUGGGAAGUACGGCCGCAAGGCUGAAACUUAAAGGAAUUGGCGGGGAGCACAACAACGGGUGGAGCUUGCGGUUUAAUUGGAUUCAACGCCGGAAAUCUUACCGGGACCGACAGCAACAUGAAGGCCAAGCUGAAGACUUUGCCGGAUUAGCUG
rnacentral:rRNA from 1 species